rnacentral:lncRNA from 1 species
CUCCAGAGCUACUGAAAUAUCAUGACCUCUCUCAGACCAGCAUGGAGAAGGGAGGGAUUGCUUCAGGCCAUGAGUAUCAGGUUUUGACUGAAACUUAAAGGUGGGCAGGACUGAUUUAUAUUUACAGAAUCCAGGAUGGGGUGGGAGGAAGAUAGAUUCGAUGACAUGAGCAGUGUACCAGAGGAGGGAAAAUACAGUGUGCCUGGGGAAUGAAGCAGACCAGCAGACCAACAGACCAGCACACCAGCAAGCCAGCUGACCAGCAGACAGAUGGUGAAAUGAUGCGGCAGAGAGAGAGAGGGAAGAGGAACAUCUGGACGCUGAGAGGAGCUUGCCUGGGGGAGGUUGGAGAAGAGUCCAGCCACUGGGCUGCCCGACUUCAGAGGAAGUUCACCUUCCCACUCCAUCCCCACUUCCCACUCCCCAUCCAUCUUGCUGAGAGCCACCUCCACUACUCAAUAAAACCUUGCACUCAUCCUUC